GAUGAACGCUGGCGGCGUGCCUAAUACAUGCAAGUCGAGCGAACGGACGAGAAGCUUGCUUCUCUGGUGUUAGCGGCGGACGUGUGAGUAACACGUGUAUAACCUACCUAUAAGACUGGGAUAACUUCGGGAAACCGGAGCUAAUACCGGAUAAUAUUUUGAACCGCAUGGUUCAAAAGUGAAAUACGGUCUUUCUGUCACUUAUAGAUGGAUCCGCGCUGCAUUAGCUAGUUGGUAAGGUAACGGCUUACCAAGGCAACGAUGCAUAGCCGACGUGAGAGGGGGAGCGGAGACACGGGAAGUGAGACACGGAAAAGAGGACGACGGGAGGGAGCAGUAGGGAAUGUUACGCAAUGGGGGAAAGCAUGACGGAGCAAAGCCGCGUGAGUGAUGAAGGUCUUAGGAUCGUAAAAAUCUGUUAUUAGGGAAGAAAAAAUGUGUAAGAAACUGUGCACAUAGUGACGGUAACUAAUCAGAAAGCAACGGCUAACUACGUG
rnacentral:rRNA from 1 species